GACGAACGCUGGCGGCGUGGAUUAGGCAUGCAAGUCGGACGGUAGGGCUUUAUCGUAAGAUAGAGUUUGAGAGUGGCGAAUGGGUGAGUAACACGUAGGAAUCUACCCUUAAGACGGGGACAACCCAGGGAAACUUGGGCUAAUACCGGAUGAGAGUGCGAGAGAUUGCAUUUAAAAGGAUGGCGAAAGUUAUCGCUUAGGGAUGAGCCUGCGGUCUAUUAGUUAGUUGGUGGGGUAAGAGCUCACCAAGGCGAUGAUAGAUAGGCGGCCUUAACGGGUGGUCGCCCACACUGGGAUUGAGAUACGGCCCAGACUCCUACGGGAGGCAGCAGUCGAGAAUAGUCUACAAUGGCCGGAAGGCUGAUAGUGCGACGCCGCGUGAACGAGGGAGCCCUUCGGGGUGUAAAGUUCUUUUAUAUGUGAGCAGUGCUUCUUAUAUUAACAGUAUGGGGAAGAGAUAUUAGCAUAUGAAUAAGCAACGGCUAACUCCGUGCCAGCA
rnacentral:rRNA from 1 species